rnacentral:rRNA from 1 species
GCGGCGAGCGACAGGGAGAAGCCCAGCACCGAAUCUCCGGCGUCCAGCGCGCCGGCGAAAUGUGGUGUUGAGGAGGGUCCACCACCCCGGAGCACGCCGAGCCGAGUCCAAGUCCUUCUUGAACGGGGCCACGGUCCGUAGAGGGUGCCAGACCCGUAGCGGCCGGUGGCGUCUCCGGGUGGACUUUUCCUUAGAGUCGGGUUGCUUGAGAGUGCAGCCUAAAGCGGGUGGUAAACUCCAUCUAAGGCUAAAUAUUACCACGAGACCGAUAGCGAACAAGUACCGUGAGGGAAAGUUGAAAAGAACUUUGAAGAGAGAGUUCAACAGUACGUGAAACCGUUCAGGGGUAAACGGGGGAGACUUGAAAAUCCGAAAAGAGAGAUUCACGUCUUCCGCCGGCCUCGCCAAUCCUUCCCGCGGACGGUAGCGCCCCCUCGCUCAGACUCCGGUCCGGGCGUUUGCGGGGCCGGCCGGGCGGGGCGGGAGCGGCAGAGCCGCGGAGGACCGCACUUCUCUCUUAGCAGGACGUCGCGACCCGUCCGGAAGCAAGGCCUAACGGCCCGACACCUAGUCUCGGGUUAGCCGGCGGCCGCAAGGCCACCGGCUCCCGAGUUGGUCGGACCGAGGCGGCGUUACGGACGGUAGCAGCCGACGGUUGUCGAACCGCUCCUCGGAGCGCCUCUGACCACCGCCGAGUCGGUCGCCGAGUGCGGUCGCGGGCACCCAGGGUGCCCGCGCCGCCUCGCCUCCGGCUGUCGGGCGGUGGUUCUGGGGCCGCGUUCGCAUCACCCGUCAGCGGCGCCGCAGUUUCGAGCUCUCACCCGACCCGUCUUGAAACACGGACCAAGGAGUCCAACGAUGCUGCGCGAGUCUCUGGGUUAUCAAACCCAAAGGCGUAAUCAAGGUGAAGGGGAAACACCUCUUCCCCGAGGGAGGACGUGGGCUUGCUCUUCUCGGGCGGCCCUCCGCACUCCCGGGGCGUCUCGCGCUCAUUGCGAGUGGAGGCGCACCUAGAGCGUUCACGUUGGGACCCGAAAGAUGGUGAACUAUGCCUGGCCAGGACGAAGCCAGGGGAAACCCUGGUGGAGGUCCGUAGCGGUUCUGACGUGCAAAUCGAUCGUCGGAGCCGGGUAUAGGGGCGAAAGACUAAUCGAACCAUCUAGUAGCUGGUUCCCUCCGAAGUUUCCCUCAGGAUAGCUGUCGCCCAAGUGAGACGAGUCUCAACCGGUAAAGCGAAUGAUUAGAGGCCUUGGGGUCGAAACGACCUCAACCUAUUCUCAAACUUUAAAUGGAUGAGAACCCCGACUUGCUCGACAUGUUCAGUGAAGUCGGGGCUUCGGAUCCGGGCGACAAGUGGGCCAAUUUUGGUAAGCAAAACUGGCGCUGUGGGAUGAACCAAACGCGGAGUUAAGGCGCCCAAAUCGACGCUCAUCAAACACCAUGAAAGGCGUUGGUUGCUUAAAACAGCAGGACGGUGGCCAUGGAAGUCGGAAUCCGCUAAGGAGUGUGUAACAACUCACCUGCCGAAGCAACUAGCCCUGAAAAUGGAUGGCGCUGUAGCGUCGUGCCUAUACUCCGCCGCCAACGGCAAGAUUCGGCACCGGCGACCCCGCAAGGGAUCACCGGAGCCCGUUAAGCCUUGGUGAGUAGGAGGGCCGCGGCGAUGUGCGCAGAAGGGUCAGGGCGCGAGCCCGCCUGGAGCCGUCGCCGGCGCAGAUCUUGGUGGUAGUAGCAAAUACUCCAGCGAGGCCCUGGAGGACUGAUGCGGAGAAGGGUUUCUUGUGACCAGCCGUUGCACAAGAGUCAGUCGGUCUUAAGCCCUAGGAGAAAUCCGAUGCCGAUGGGCGCCAUUAAAUCUAAACUUCGCAGUCGCAAACCGAAGGCCUGCUCCAGUUCUUCUGGUGGCAACGGGCGGGGCGGGUCUCGGACCCAGCUCUCAGUCCGUGGCAACCGAGGACGGGUGCGGGGGAUGUCGGUCUUGCUUGCAAGUCUAUAAGUGGCGCUCUAGGUCGGGCGAAGGGGAAUCCGGUCUCUAUUCCGGAACCUGGCCAGCGGUACCGUUCCAAGUCGGGCCCUCGGACGAGGACUCGUCGGGGUAACCAAAAAGGACCCGGAGACGCCGUCGGGAGAUCCAGGGAGAGUUGUCUCUUCUCUAUAAGCGUUCGAGUUCCCUGAAAACCUCUCGCAGAGAGAUAGGGUUUGGAGCGCGAAGAGCACCGCAGUUACGGCGGUGUCUGGAUCUUCCCCUCGGACCUUGAAAAUCCGGGUGAGGGCUACGAGGAACACCGCGCCAGACCGUACCCAUAUCCGCAGCNNNNNNNNNNNNNNNNUGAAUACCACUACUUUCAUAGUUUCCUUACUUACUCGGUGAGGCGGAGGGCGUCCGUCGCUGGCCUCCCGGCCACGGCGAGACGGUCUUCUUGCGCCAAGCGCGGGGGUUGGCGCCUGCCUCCUGUAGCGUCGGUUUCCCGGCUGGUCGCGAGAGCCUUGCAGGUUCUAACGGCCCGAGUGGAAGUCCGGCGCGAUCCAGGAGCGUUUGGUUAGCCAACGUACUCCCCGGCGUGAUCCGAUCCGAGGACACUUCCAGGUCGAUAGUUUGACUGGGGCGGUACAUCUGUCAAACAAUAACGCAGGUGUCCUAAGGCCAGCUCAGCGAGGACAGAAACCUCGCGUAGAGCAAAAGGGCAAAAGCUGGCUUGAUCCCGAUGCUCAGUACGCAUAGGGACUGCGAAAGCACGGCCUAUCGAUCCUUUUGGCUUGGAGAGUUUCCAGCAAGAGGUGUCAGAAAAGUUACCACAGGGAUAACUGGCUCGUGGCGGCCAAGCGUUCAUAGCGACGUCGCUUUUUGAUCCUUCGAUGUCGGCUCUUCCUAUCAUUGCGGAGCAGAAUCCGCCAAGCGUCGGAUUGUUCACCCGCCAAUAGGGAACGUGAGCUGGGUUUAGACCGUCGUGAGACAGGUUAGUUUUACCCUUCUGAUGACUAAAACUUUUCAUUGCAACGGUAAUCCUGCUCAGUACGAGAGGAACCGCAGAUUCGGACAUUUGGUUAUGCACUCGGUCGACAGGCCGGUGGUGCCAGGCUAUCAUCCGCGGGAUUAUGCCUGAACGCCUCUAAGGCCGAAUCCCGCCUGAUAGCCCUGACACUUUUAGGGGUCCCAUGGGUCGAAAGGCUCAAACCAAUGUGAAACUGUAGGUGGUUCCGGUUCGUCCGGUCCAUCGCACGAACCAUACUACCGGGGGGGUCCUUGCGCGGGUUCGGUCCCGGACUAAAGUCCGGUCGGACCCCGACCCUCCUGGCUAAUAUGGGUCACCCUAACGGGAGUUCGAUGUUGGGACCCGGAGCCGUCUGUAAACGACUUAGGUACCGACGCGGGGUGUUGUACUCGGGAGAACAAUGGCCCCCGCUGAA